GCGGGGAUGAGGUGUGGGUAGGGGUGAAAUGCCAAUCGAACCUGGAGAUAGCUGGUUCUCUCCGAAAUAGCUUUAGGGCUAGCCUCAAGGUAAGAGUCUUGGAGGUAGAGCACUGAUUGGACUAGGGCCCUACCGGGUUACCGAAUUCAGUCAAACUCCGAAUGCCAAUGACUUAUCCUUGGGAGUCAGACUGCGAGUGAUAAGAUCCGUAGUCGAAAGGGAAACAGCCCAGACCGCCAGCUAAGGUCCCA
rnacentral:rRNA from 2 species